AGCCAUAUAACGUCUUGAAGGGAGACAUUUGAAUCGCUGAAUGAAAAGUUGUAUUGUACCAGAACUCUGCCAAGCUUAACCAUUUGCUCCAAGCUGCAGGCUUGUGACCAGUCAUGCAUCGAAGGUAACCUUCCAAACACCUGUUAAGCCUUUCCGUUUGCCCAUUCGUCUGCAGAUGGUAUGCUGAGCUGAGCUUAAUUUGUACCCCCAAUCCAUUAACAACUCUUUCCAAAAUAGGCUUGUAAAAAUCGGGUCUCUAUCAGAAGUAAUAGAAACUGGAUUGCCAUGUAAUUUACAGAUAUUGUCAAGGAACAAUUGAGAAAUUUGUGAUGCCGUAUAGGGAUGGGAUACAGCUAUAAAAUAAGCAUACUUGGUAAAACGAUCCACUAACACAAAUAUUACUUAUUUCCCCCGGAUUUUGGUAAUCCUUCAAUGAAAUCCAUUGUGAUGUGUUCCCAUGCCCUUGAAGGGACAGGAAGAGGCUGAAGUAAUCCUGGAUAAGCCAUAUUUUCUCCCUUGUUCCUUUGGCAAGUGUCACAUUCUCAUACCAUCUGUUUCACAUCCUUUGAGAGCUUGGGCCAGUAAAAAAGAGCUUUCAAUCUUUGCAAGGUGGCAUGAGCCCCUAAAUGUCAACCCCACGCUGUGGUGUGCAUGGCUUCAAUUAAUUGUUGUCUCUUCUGUCCAGUGCUUCCUACCCAAAUUUGACCCUUAUGCCUCAAUGAGCCCUGCUGCAAGGAUACAUUAGGAAUAACAUUAGGAUCUAGUGCCAGUUUAGCCAUAGCUGCCAUGAUUUCUGAGUCCCCUUCAUAGCUAGCCAAGACUUCCUGAACCCACAAAGGAUACACUACUGAAAUACUUUUGCAUUCUGCCUCUUCAUCAAAUCUGUGUGACAAUGCGUCAGCAGCAAUAAUUUCUACUCCUUUUCUGAAUUGAAUUUCGUAACUAAGCCCCAAAAGCUUAGUUAUACCUUUAUGUUGAAGAGAGGUUGUCACCCUUUGAUCUUUCAAAAACUUCAAACUGAAGUGGUCUGUCUUAAUGAUAAAAUGAGAUGGCUGUAGAUAGCGUCGCCACUUUUCAAUGGCUAACAGUAGUGCCACCAGUCCUUUUUCAUAGGUAGAUAAGCCUAGAUGCUUUGAGCUUUGGCUGUAGAUAGCGUCGCCACUUUUCAAUGGCUAACAGUAGUGCCACCAGUCCUUUUUCAUAGGUAGAUAAGCCCAGAUGCUUUGAGCUUAAAGCUUGGCUAAGGAAAGCCAAAGGUCUACCUUGCUGCAUCAAAACAGCCCCCACUCAUGUUCCACAAGCAUCCACUUCUACGACAAAAGGCUGAGAGAAAUUAGGCAGGGCCAGUACAGGUGCUUGGACCAUUGCUUGUUUUAGGGCCUCAAAUGCCUGCAUAGCCUCCUCACUCCAAACAAAAGCCCAUUUCUUUAGUAAAUUAGUAAGAGGCAUGCUGAUGAUUGUAAAAUAUUUUAUGAACCUCCUAUAGUAACCUGUUAGGCCCAAAAAUCCUCUAAGCCCUUUAAUAUUACUGGGCCUGCCCAAUUGAGUAUUGCUUCGACUUUGGACUCAUCUGUACUUGCCCCUCCACUAGAAAUUAUAUGGUCGAGAUACUCAAUCUUAUCACGUCCAAAAUUGCAUUUAGAGCGCUUAGCAAAGAGCUGAUUAGCUUGUAAUACUUCAAAAACCUUCUCAAGAUGAGUCAAAUGUUCUAAGGCAGAAACACUUUAGACAAGAAUGUCGUCGAAGAACACUAACACGAAUUUGCGAAGAUAAGGCCCAAAACUCUUGUGCAUUAAGGCCUGGAACGUGGCUGGAGCAUUUGUAAGCCCAAAAGGCAUUACUUUGAAUUACCAUAGCCCAUGGUGAGUUCGAAAUGCUGUUUUGAACUCGUCCCCCUCCAUGCAUAUUUGAUGAUAGCCAGACCGCAGGUCAAGCUUUGAAAAUAAGAAAGCUCUAUUCAAUUCGUCUAACAAAUCUUCCACUACCGGAAUUGGAUAUUUAUUCUUCACCGUAAUAUCAUUUAACUUGCGGUAAUUAACACACAUGCGCCAAGAUGAGUCCUUUUUUCUUCACCAAUAUAACAGGUGAAGCAAAAGGAGAGGAGUUGGGAACCAGAGUAUUCUGCUUUAGCAUGUCUUGGACCAUUUUUUUGAUCGUGUUCUUUUGCUUAAAUGAGUAUCGAUAUGGCCUUUGGUUAACUGUAGUAGCACCAGGAACCAAAUCAACUGCAUGAUCACAGUCACGCUUAGGAGAAAGACCACUUGGUUCUUUGAAUAAGUCCUCGAAUUUGGACACCAGCUGUUCCAUUUGGGCUUGAUCAAGAAAGGUCUUAGCUACUUCUUCCAAGGCAUUGAAUUGGGCUAGGGCUAAAAAGCUACAGUAACUGCUCUUGAGCAAUUUCUGAAUGGACUUGGCCUUGGCAGGAGCUAUUUUUAUAGCAUCUCUACUGUCAAUCAAUGUUAAAAAGCGACCAUCCUUCAUAAAAGAGAUACUAUGUGGUUUAGUAUGCAAAAUAAGAGGUGCAACUGAAUUGAUCCAAUCCAUUCCCAGCACAAUAUCACAACCCUUCACUUGCAGCCACUUUAAAUCAAAAUGAAAUUGAUUAUUCCCCAUUUCCCAUAUGAAUGAUGGGCUAAAAUGACUGCAAAACAGCUCAUGCCCAUUAGCAACUCUCAAGAGACCCAUAAUGAGCACACCCAUUUAGCUCAAACCUUUAGGCACUUGAGGAUCAAUAAAACUAUGGGUCGAACCACUAUCGAUUAAAAUAAUCAAUGGGAUUCGUUUGAUGUUACCCAUAAUUUUAAUAGUAUUCGAUGUGUAAUCCAGGCCCAACAACACAUUUAAUGAAAUUUCUGCUUGUUCACCUUGCUCUUGGGCCUGUAGCUCCCCUUCAACCACAGCUUCCUCUUCUUGGGCCUCCUUUUCCACCCCUGAGUAUUCUCCCACCUCCAUUUCACCAAUCAUCAACUGCAACUUGGGCUUACAUUGAUGGCCCGGUAAAUAUUUAUCGUGACACUUGAAACACAAAUUAAGGUCACGAAGUGUAUCCAAAGAGACAUUUUUGGGUAAAGGCUUUUUAAUGGUAACACCAGGGAGUGCCCUUGGUGCCGGAGCUGGGGCAGUAAGGGUCUUGGGUAUUGAGCUAUCAUUUUUGGCUAUUGGACUAUCAUCUUUGAGGUAGGUAACAUAGUACUUUGGCUGGAAAUUUUUGUAGAUGGCUGCAAGGGUCUUUUCGUGCAACUUAGCCACUUCUGAGGCAUCAAGCAGUGUUUGAGGAUUAAAAGCCCUGACCAUCGAUUGUAAAUCAGAUCUAAGGCCAAUAAUAAAACAAGUAACAAAGUAUGCUUCAUUCAAAGAUGAAUUAAUGAGCAACAUGUAGAAAUGCAACUCAUCAAACCUUGCCUGAUAACUAUCAACAUCUGCUUUUUGUUCCAACCUAUUAAACUCGUUAACGACGUCUAAUGGUCGAAUGUUCCCAUAACGAUGACAAACAUCCAAACAAAAUGUUUCCUAGGAGACAUUUCCACCCUUGUCCAUCAUAUAAACAUCAAACCAUGUGUCAAUUUUAUCUUUGAUGUGCACCGUCACAUAACUCAUCCAUGACUAUUGUGGAAUGUGAUAAAAGUGGAAAAGAUUCUGACACCUACUUAUCCAUUCUCUAGGAUUAUUGAUGUCGAACUCAGGAAAUGACAGUUAAUAUUUUGAGGAACUGACUUGGUUAUUUAUGACUGCAGGUGUUUGAAAACUAGGCUGAGACAUCAUAUUUUGGGCGGGUAAACUGUUGUUGGGCUGGGUAAAAGAGGUAAUCAGUGGUGGAGUAAUUAUCGUUGGGUUAGGCCUAGAAGAGAAGUGAUAAGGUUUAUGUGAAGGAUAGUUCAUGGGUGAGAAAUUGGUGGUAGAAAUAGUAGUAAGAGAGGUCGAUGAAGUGUAGGGAUAGGAAGCGAAGUUGGUGAUGCUAGGGUAAAAGAGAAGGUGAGUUGUAAAGGUUGGUUGCAAAGCUUCAGUACGAGCAACAAUAGAUGAAAUAGGAAUAAUGGUGGACGUAGGGACAGUUGGAGAAACAGUGACAGUGGUAGAUCUAGGAUUGAAGGGAGUUGGAGUAAAUGUCAUACCUCUACUAACCUGUGAAAAAUUAAGAGUAGCAGUCGGUGUAAGAGGGGAAACCGAUGCCGUUGACCGGAGGUUACACCCGACGGAGGAUUCACCUUGUUCAGCAGAUGGCCCUCCUUGUAAGAGAAGUGCAUGAGCUCGAGUUGCCGCGUUCGACUCUGCCCGCCGGUCAAAUUCCAUUUGAGCCAACAAUGCCUCAAACCUCCGAUUACUCUCCUCAUGUUGUUGAGCGUGUACUUCCUCCAUCCUAGCCAUCCUCUGCUGAGUAUCCACCAUAUACGCCUGAAGCUGGGUUUUAAAUUUCUGCCACCCAUCAUUAGUUACUUUCAUUUUCUGAGACUCUACCAUUGCCGGAAAAUACCAGGCCGGCACCGCUUUGAUACCAAUAUGUAACGGGUAUGCAAGCAAAACCAAGAAGAAUGUAAAAUAGGACAGAAUUAAAAUGAAAAAGAUGACAUUUCAUUCAGCAUGAUUCUAGACUCUGACAUACAGGGAAUAAAUAGCAAAAUGACUCUAACAAACUAGACACCUGGCAACAUAUAACAAUGCCAGCUUUUAGGGACUAUAUAAUAAAUAAGAAAAGACUAAACUGACAACUAUUAAACUUAAGGACUCCAAUACAUAAUAAAGAACUAAGAAUAAUAAUGUUGAAGUUUUCUUCUCUUUCGUAACAGCGAACUCACCGGAAAGCAUGGAGAAGCUUCUGAUUUGUCAUCUCACACCUUCUUUUCCCCUUUCUCUAUACCUACACACACAUUUAUACACAGAUCUAGAGACAUAUAUACAAGAGGCCGGAGAUCUGAAAGUUUUGGGUUCGAAUUCUACUGGAUCUGACUGAAAAUAUAUUUUCUCGGCGAGCCAUUACUCUUUUUCUCAUAUUUUCUUUUUGUUUAUCAGAUCCGGAAGGGAGACGAAAUAGUAGCUGAAACUCCGAGCUCAGAGUAUGGUCAGAAUCUUGCCGAAGAAUUUUCUGGCAACUUUUGUGCGCCAUGUUCUCUCUCUCUGACCGCUGCACACCUGCACCAGUGUCUAACGCUGACGUAGCAGCGUCUCAGGCGGUUACAAAUUGAAGAAGUAAACUGAGAGACCUUUAACUUCUUAGAAGAUUUCAGAAGUUGUUUUGACAAGAAAGUUUUAGAUCAUAUGCUUGCAGAUUUAUAUCAUAAAAUUUUACUAUCAAAUUUUUAAUUUUUUUUCUCUCAAUUGAGUUCAGAUUUUUUCAU
rnacentral:lncRNA from 1 species